rnacentral:hammerhead_ribozyme from 1 species
GCACAGCUGAGGAGUCCCACAAUAGGACGAAACGGUCGUCCAGUGU